rnacentral:rRNA from 1 species
AAAUAGCUUUAGGGCUAGCGUCGGAAAGAACCUUAGUGAAGGUAGAGCACUGAAUGUGUGAUGGCCCCAUCCCGGGGUACUGAAUACAAUCAAACUGCGAAUGUCAUUAAGGAUGUCCGGCAGUCAGACUGUGAGUGAUAAGGUCCAUGGUCAAGAGGGAAACAGCCCAGACCGCCAGUUAAGGUCCCAAAAUACAGGCUAAGUGGAAAAGGAUGUGGGGAUGCCCAGACAACUAGGAGGUUGGCUCAGAAGCAGCCAUCCUUUAAAGAGUGCGUAACAGCUCACUAGUCGAGUGACCCUGCGCCGAAAAUGUACCGGGGCUAAGCCUGAUACCGAAACUGCGGAUUGUAGGAAACUAUAGUGGUAGGGGAGCGUUGUAUACGAGCAGAAGCCGUACCGUGAGGAGCGGUGGAUUGUAUAGAAGUGAGAAUGCCGGUGUGAGUAGCGAGAUGUAGGUGAGAAUCCUACACACCGAAAGCCCAAGGAUUCCAGGGGAAGGUUCGUCCGCCCUGGGUAAGUCGGGACCUAACGCGAGGCCGAAAGGCGUAGUGGAUGGAAAGCAGGCGAAAGAUUCCUGCACCCGUAUAUGGAGCGAAGGAGUGACGGAGACGGAUAGUGUGACCCUCUUAGUGGAUUGAGGGCGAAGCGAAGCGGCUGGUUACCAGGCAAAUCCGGUAACCAAAAGGCUAGAGCGUGACAGGUAAGCGAAAUCUUAGGAAAGUAGCGAAGCACAUGAUGACGGCUUCCAGGAAAAGCUUCUGGCAAUGCAUAUGCGGCCCGUACCAAAACCGACACAGGUGGGCAGGGAGAGAAUCCCGAGGUGAGCGAGAGAACUGUUGCCAAGGAACUCGGCAAAAUGACUCCGUAAGUUAGCGAGAAGGAGUGCUUAAGCAAUUAAGCCGCAGUGAAGAGGCCCAAGCGACUGUUUAACUAAAACACAGCUCUCUGCGAAGUCGCAAGACGAAGUAUAGGGGGUGACACCUGCCCGGUGCUGGAAGGUUAAGAGGAUCUGUUAAGAGCGAUCUGAAGCAGUGAUCCGAAGCCCCAGUGAACGGCGGCCGUAACUAUAACGGUCCUAAGGUAGCGAAAUUCCUUGUCAGGUAAGUUCUGACCCGCACGAAUGGCGUAAUGAUUUGGGCACUGUCUCGACAGCCCGCCCGGCGAAAUUGUAGUACUGGUGAAGAUGCCAGUUACCCGCAACUAGACGGAAAGACCCCAUGGAGCUUUACUGCAGUUUAAUACUGGGAAUCGGUAAUUCAUGUACAGGAUAGGUGGGAGACUGGGAAGCACGGCCGUCAGGUCGUGUGGAGUCACCGGUGGGAUACCACUCUUGGAUUGCUGGUUUCCUAACCUGCGGCCCUGAAUCGGGUCGGGGGACACUGUUAGACGGGCAGUUUGACUGGGGCGGUCGCCUCCAAAAGAGUAACGGAGGCGCUCAAAGGUUCGUUCAGCACGGACGGAAAUCGUGCAUUGAGUGUAAACGCAUAAACGAGCCUAACUGCGAGACCGACGGGUCGAGCAGUAACGAAAGUUGGAGUUAGUGAUCCGGUGGUAUGUGAGUGG